UAAGUGGGUCUUGUAUUAAAGGUGCCAAUGGUUAAUAAUAGAACUUGAUACAAAAGGUCGCAUUAUUCAUAACUGUUUAUCACAUUAUGUCUAUGGCGUCAAAUUGUUUUUUAAAUGUCUGUCAUGGCGAGGAGGUGCUUACGGCUUACCUAUGUGUAAGGAAUUUAGGGCGUUAAUGUUGACAACUUAACUCAGUUUAAUGACACAUUAAGGUCACAAAAUUAUAGUCUAUUUAAAUAAAAAUCAAUAGGUAGACUAACUAUAAGUAACUUACUUAGGUACCCGGCAAAAAAAAGGUUUAGGUUAGGUUAGGUUAGGUUUAACACCGAAAGAUAGGACGUGUUAACAUAAAAUGAAUGUCACUGGCAAGUUCGUUCACUCGAGUAUUCAGUGACCCUCUUCUUUUCAGGGAAGGCGUGUGUGGUUUUAGUCGGUAAGAGUCCGACAUAAUUUGCUGUCUGGCGUACUUCGUAAGUAACAAAAAACAAAAGGUAUCCAUGAGAAUUUCCACAUAUUAAAAAAAAAAAUGAGGUUAGGUUUAGGUUUGGGUUAGGUUUGGGUUAGGUUUGGGUUAGGUUUGGGUUAGGUUUGGGUUAGGUUUGGGUUAGGUUUGGGUUAGGUUUGGGUUGGGUUAGGUUUGGGUUAGGUUUGGGUUAGGUUUGGGUUAGGUUUGGGUUAGGUUUGGGUUAGGUUUGGGUUAGGUUUGGGUUAGGUUUGGGUUGGGUUUGGGUUGGGUUAGGUUUGGGUUAGGUUUGGGUUAGGUUUGGGUUAGGUUUGGGUUAGGUUUGGGUUAGGUUUGGGUUAGGUUUGGGUUAGGUUUGGGUUAGGUUUGGGUUAGGUUUGGGUUAGGUUUGGGUUAGGUUUGGGUUAGGUUUGGGUUAGGUUUGGGUUAGGUUUGGGUUAGGUUUGGGCUAGGUUUGGGUUAGGUUUGGGUUAGGUUUGGGUUAGGUUUGGGUUAGGUUUGGGUUAGGUUUGGGUUAGGUUUGGGUUAGGUUUGGGUUAGGUUUGGGUUAGGUUUGGGUUAGGUUUGGGUUAGGUUUGGGUUAGGUUUGGGUUAGGUUUGGGUUAGGUUUGGGUUAGGUUUGGGUUGGGUUAGGUUUGGGUUAGGUUUGGGUUGGGUUAGGUUUGGG